AAGGUACUGGGAAUACAGCAUACAGUUUGUUUUAACUUGUGAAUUCCCUAGUAAAAUCAAAUACAUUAUCUUUUCCAAUUGCACUCAAUUUUAAGCGAAAAGACAAAAGAACAAAAUACUGGGAUGACUGACACAGGACCUCCUAUGAAAGAAGUAGUAUAUUCUCAAAUCUAGUGACCUUCUUUACUCCUCUGAAAAUGGACAUAACUGAAGUCAUUUGCAUCUCUAUGCUCAUCUCAAUAAGGACAUGUUCUGGUAAUGACAUGCUUUGUAUGUACAUACUCAUGGGCAUUAUCUUGUAUGAGUGCCUAUGACACAUGUUUCAUUUUUUUCAUCAUUUCCAUAGAUUAAAUAAAUAACUUACCAAAGCAGUUAAUAUUAAAAGAGGGCAUAGGAUUUGUAUAGCGUGACAUUUUCAGUCUAAA
rnacentral:lncRNA from 1 species